CAACAGGGAUUGCCUCAGUAACUGCGAGUGAAGCGGCAAAAGCUCAAAUUUGAAAUCUGGCGUUCAUCGUCCGAGUUGUAAUUUGGAGGGGUAACUUCGGAAACGACGCCGCUCUAUGUUCCUUUGAACAGGACAUCACAGAGGGUGAGAAUCCCGUGCUUGGGCGGAUCGUCGCGACCAUGUGAAGUGCCUCCGACGAGUCGAGUUGUUUGGGAAUGCAGCUCAAAAUGGGUGGUAAAUUUCAUCUAAAGCUAAAUAUUGGCGAGAGACCGAUAGCGCACAAGUAGAGUGAUCGAAAGAUGAAAAGAACUUUGAAAAGAGGGUCAAACAGUACGUGAAAUUGUUGAAAGGGAAGCGCUUGAGAUCGAACUCAGUCGAUGGCACACAGCCGAGCUUCUGCUCGGUGCACUGGUCGUCGACUGGGCCAGCAUCGGUUCUGACGGCGGGAUAAAGGGUCGGGAAACGUGGCUCGCCUCGUGCGAGUGUUAUAGUCCCGCGCCGUAAUACCGCCAGUCCGGGACCGAGGACCGCGCUUCGGCUAGGAUGCUGGCGUAACGGUCUUAAGCGACCCGUCUUGAAACACGGACCAAGGAGUCUAACAUCUAUGCGAGUGUUCGGGUGGAAAACCCUUGCGCGUAAUGAAAGUGAACACAUUUGAAGGUGGGAACCGCAAGGUGCACCAUCGACCGAUCCGGAUGUCUUCGGAAGGAUUUGAGUAUGAGCAUAGCUGUUGGGACCCGAAAGAUGGUGAACUAUGCCUGAAUAGGGUGAAGCCAGAGGAAACUCUGGUGGAGGCUCGCAGCGGUUCUGACGUGCAAAUCGAUCGUCGAA
rnacentral:rRNA from 1 species